UUUAUUUUAUUUUUUUUUGUUAUUUAAUUUUCUCUCUCGUCUCUCUCCCUUGAUCCCAUCGACUUCCAUAUCAUCUCCGCAGAAAAGACGACGAUAGAAUUGAAGGUCAUUUAGUCGGUGAUUCAGUUGGAUAUUGGAUUUGACCGGCGGCAUCACAUCUCCACCGUAAGAGACACCAUCGACAAUCUCGAAUCAUCAAUCCGAUCGCGAUUUGGUUGAACAUAUCAGAUAUUUGGUUGCUUUUUCUCUCUCGUCUGUGUUUAUAUGAUUGUUCGCUUAGCUCCGAGUUUCUCUGGAUUUGAAAUAUACGAGUUCGCUGCUCUGGAUUUCGUUUUAUCUUUCUUAUUUGUCCUCUGAGAUUUUUGUAUGUUUGUUUGUUUCCUGCGUCUUUUUGUACAAUUUGACUUUCAAUUUUGAGAUUGAUUUCGUAGAACACUCGCUUUGUAGAAUGUGCUGAGAUAGCUUAAUAAAUGUAGCCUGUGAUGUUUUAUUAUUCUAAUCUGUAGGUGAAGUUUUCGCUUACUUGUGUUGUGACAUUCAGAUUUACAUGUGCAAGCCAGAGUUGCUUCAGUUUGGUUAUUCUGGAAUUGAUUGAUCAGCACGAGAAAGUUGCGAAGAUUGGUGAAGGAACUUACGGUGUGGUUUAUAAGGCACGAGACAAAGUGACCAAUGAGACUAUCUAUAGCUUUGAAGAAGGUCCGGCUUGAGCAGGAGGAUGAAGACGGCGUGCCUAGCACAGCAAAUUAGAGAAAAUCUCCCUCUUGAAAGAAAUGCAGCACAGCAACAUUGUCAAGUUGCAGGGUGUAGUGCACAGCGAGAAGCGUUUGUAUCUGGUGAUUUCUCUAAGGAUCUACAUCUGAUCAAAGUGAGUGCUUAGAAACUUUAUGUGCCCAGCUUAAUGCAGUCUUUAUGUGAAGCACUUUAACCGACCAGAAACUCCUAAAAGUACUGUCUUAUUGAGCUAUUUGGUUGGUCAUGAUGUCAUACUUCCUCCUGGUCUUUUUAGUACUCAACAUAGGCUGAUUAGAGCUGUUCAUUCACUCUUUGGAGAGACAUAUCUUUACCAGAUUCUCCGUGGAAUUCCGUAUUGCCACUCUCACAGAAUUACUCAUGUGGUGCCAAAGAGCUUAAUUCUUUGUUCAUAUGUUUCUGUAAUGAAAUCUUUCGCAUGGGCUUCAUAUUUGCUUCAUUCCUCAAGGGUAAAGAACCACUUACGUAUCUGAUAUAUAUGUUAAUAAAGGACUAAGAAAUUUCAGAUA